rnacentral:rRNA from 1 species
UGCGAACGGGUGAGUAACGCGUAGGUAACCUGCCUGGUAGCGGGGGAUAACUAUUGGAAACGAUAGCUAAUACCGCAUAAGAGUAGAGGGGGAAUGACAUUUGCUUAAAAGGGGCAAUUGCAUCACUACCAGAUGGACCUGCGUUGUAUUAGCUAGUUGGUGGGGUAAAGGCUAAAAAAGGAGAAGAUAAAUAGAAGAAAGGAGAGGGGGAUAGGAAACACUGGGACUGAGACACGGCCCAGACUCC